UUAAUCCUGGUUUCAUCUCGAAGUGACCAUUCCAAUACAGAAGCUGCAGUUGUGCUCAAUGGCAGAAGCCUCCAGCUGCUUCCUUGAGGUGCUGGUCAGCAGCAGCUGCUGCCUCACGUGGUGCCUCCCUGGGCUGUAGGUGAGGAACAGACAGAGGCAGUUUAGCUUGUCUUCCUUGUAGCCUUGCUUCUACUGUUUGCAUAAAGCACCUGUGGCAAGAAUUGCUAAUUCUUAAAACAGCUUGCCUAAGAAAUAACCCUUUGUGGUCAAAUGCUUCAGUGGUGAACUAAAUGCCUCUGGCUUCUGCUCCGGAAUCGUGCCAGUUGGCUGCUGGCAUGAGUAGUUUGCCCAAAGCUGAUGCUGCUGUGGCAGUAUGGCUCUGUGCAAAAGGGCUGGCUGCGUGCUCAGAGCAUGAUGGCGUUGUGGCAGAUUUUGAUGUUAGUGGCCUUGUUCGUUAGGAAUCCAUACAACUUGCCUCCUCUGGCUGAAAUUCCCUGUAGUGCUGGCUCAGGCUUUGUCCCAGUACCUGAUGUGUAUGGCGGUGCAAGAAAGCACCUGUGUGCAUCUGCUGGCACAAGCUGUCGAGAGGGACCUUCUGCACAAGGGUGCUGUGGGUGCAGAGCAGCUGCUGCGUGGCUUUUCCUCUUCAGCUGAGCCUGCUGUGUCUCCUGUGUCAGCAGGCAGCCGUGUAACACCAGCACCUGGGAUGCAGGCACUGCGCUGUUUCCAUUGCUCAACUUGAUGUUAAUCAUGAACUGGCCUGGUGCUGCAUAAUCACUUCUUUCCCAGGUUGUGGCCUGAUCAGGGAGAGCUGCUCUCGGCUGAAGUGAUGAAAUGGGGGCACAGUGGGGAAGGAGGAAUCGGCAGCAGAGAUGGGCUCAUGUGGCAGAAGUGCUCUUUCUGGCUCACGGUUGCAGCCUUACUAUCGAAGGCUGCUGGAAAUUAUGCUGAAAUGCUUGAACAUAAAAGUACGAAAAAACUUCAGUUCUAAGGAAGAAUUAAUUGACACUUUGAUAGGAUUAUAAUUCCCAGUGGCCUAUUUUGAACAGCCAGACUGGCCAUUACUUUAUUUAUAAAGCUAUAAACAUAUUUUGAACGUAAAAGCCAAAAAAUACAAACUUGGUGAAGUAAAAAAAAUUACAACAAAUGAUGGAUAAUCAUUGGACAAAUGAAAGUACAGCUGCAAAACAUUUAUCCCUGCUACAUACAUACAGUGGUUGUACUUGGUUUAAUGAAGUGGUGUUUCCAUGACUUCUACGUUCAAACUGGUUUCAGGAAUUCAAAUGUGUAUUUCAAGAGAAGUUGAAAUUGCUGUAAAAACUGAAAAAAAAAAAUCUUUUGGGGAUUAAAAACUUGAGGGCGAUGUUUUCCUUCUGUUAAAAAAGCACAUUGACACGAAAUAACAACACUUCAUAUGGCAUUUUGAAGAUUUCUUUUGGCAUUAAUAAAAGUAACUCUGUUUUGGCAUUGGUAACCAUAGGGCAGCCAUCAGUUCAGCUCGCUGCUUUGUCUCAGCAGUGGGCAGCUCCGAGCUCUCCUGCGUGUUUUGGGGAAAGGAAGAAGUUUCCUCUGUUGUGCCAUAUAAGCAUUCAGGUAACAGCAAAGGCAAAACCAUGCUGUGUUGGUGUGAGAGCUGUUCAGGAGCUUCAGUCAGAAGGUGUGAGCUGUGUGCUGUGUGCUGUGUGCUGUGAGCCGUGUGCUGUGAGCUGUGCUGUGUGCUGUGAGCUGUGUGCUGUGUGCUGUGAGCUGUGUGCUGUGUGCUGUGAGCUGUGUGCUGUGUGCUGUGUGCUGUGAGCUGUGUGCUGUGAGCUGUGUGCUGUGUGCUGUGUGCUGUGAGCUGUGUGCUGUGUGCUGUGCUGUGAGCUGUGUGCUGUGUGCUGUGCUGUGAGCUGUGUGCUGUGUGCUGUGUGCUGUGAGCUGUGUGCUGUGUGCUGUGCUGUGAGCUGUGUGCUGUGUGCUGUGUGCUGUGAGCUGUGAGCUGUGCUGUGUGCUGUGUGCUGUGUGCUGUGUGCUGUGAGCUGUGCUGUGUGCUGUGCUGUGAGCUGUGUGCUGUGUGCUGUGUGCUGUGAGCUGUGAGCUGUGCUGUGUGCUGUGUGCUGUGUGCUGUGUGCUGUGUGCUGUGUGCUGUGUGCUGUGAGCUGUGUGCUGUGAGCUGGAAGGCUCUGCAGGAGGGAAGGCAGGUGUCACCAAGACUGCAGGACCAGAUGAACGGCCGUGGUGAGAGGAGGCUGUGACACAGGUGGGCCUUUUCCUGUCAUCGUGCCCUGAGCGAGGCGCAGGCACCAUGGGGGGCUGUGAGCAGCCUUGAAAUAGAGGAAAGAAGUCCUAACGAGCCUGAAAUGAAUGAGGGCUGCUUAGUGCUACUCGGUCCUUGGUCACAACACGCAGUUUAUUGCUGGUCAGGACUUUCCCUUAGAUUUCCUCUGGUGUUACUUAGAGGCGCCUGGUUUUUCUUUAUACCCAUCUUUGCUGCUAAGCCACAUUUCAUCCAACCAUGAACACCAACCAGGUAUUACGUUGUGCCAGCUUUACACCCAGUUCUGCCCACUGCUGGGCGCAGCGCGGCCCUUUGUCAGCUGAGGCUGUUACAGCAGUUGUCACUUGGCCUUACGGCAGAGGGUGAUCAGAUCAGUGAAGGACGGCGAGCUGAGACAAAGCUUUCUUUAAGGUUUAUAUUUAUAAUGGCUGGUCAGAAGAGUCUGUGCCAGGUCUGGGAAUGGCUGGCUGAGUUGCUGUGCUUGCUGAAAUAACUUAAAGACGAGCGGAUGGUGUGUGAGCAAGGGCUGCAUCGCGAACCCUGAGUGCAGCGUGUGCAGCUGGCGGGCACUGCAGGUGAUGCUGCUUCUCUGAGGGUUCGCACAGCUCUGUGCACGUCGCUUCCAGUCAGUGCUUCUCAAGUUACAUUUACACAGAAGAGGAAUAAAGCAGUAAGUUUGGGUCUUCUAAACUAAAACGAGUCAAAGGCCUACGCUACUAUAAGCAAAAGUACCUAAAUUAGGAGAAUAAACCCAGAGAUGCUCUAUAGACUAAUCAGUGGUCUUUUUUUUCUUUUUUUAAUUUUCAAUCUUUGAUGCAUAAACUUGUUUUAAAAAGUUGAGUCCAAUGUAAAAAAAUCCGGGUUUU